CGGCUCAGUAACACGUGGAUAACCUACCCUUGAGACGGGGAUAAACCCGGGAAACUGGGUAUAAUACCCGAUAGAUCUCGACUGCUGGAAUGCAUCGAGCUUGAAAGCUCCGGCGCUCAAGGAUGGGUCUGCGGCCUAUCAGGUAGUAGUGGGUGUAGCGUACCUACUAGCCUACGACGGGUACGGGUUGUGAGAGCAAGAGCCCGGAGAUGGAUUCUGAGACACGAAUCCAGGCCCUACGGGGUGCAGCAGGCGCGAAAACUUUACAAUGCUGGAAACAGCGAUAAGGGGACCUCGAGUGCCAGGUUACAAAUCUGGCUGUCGUGAUGCCUAAAAAGCAUUGCAUAGCAAGGGCCGGGCAAGACCGGUGCCAGCCGCCGCGGUAACACCGGCGGCUCGAGUGGUAACCGUUAUUAUUGGGUCUAAAGGGUCUGUAGCCGGCCGGAUAAGUCUCUUGGGAAAUCUGGCAGCUUAACUGUCAGGCUUUCAGGAGAUACUGUCUGGCUCGAGGCCGGGAGAGGUGAGAGGUACUUCAGGGGUAGGGGUGAAAUCUUGUAAUCCUUGAAGGACCACCAGUGGCGAAGGCGUCUCACCAGAACGGACCUGACGGCAAGGGACGAAAGCUAGGGGCACGAACCGGA
rnacentral:rRNA from 1 species